rnacentral:rRNA from 1 species
UACGAAGGGGGCUAGCGUUGUUCGGAAUCAUUGGGCGUAAAGAGCGUGUAGGCGGCUUGGUAAGUCCGCUGUGAAAGUCCAGGGCUCAACCCUGGAAUGCCGGUGGAAACUGUCAAGCUUGAGUCCGGAAGAGGCGAGUGGAAUUCCUGGUGUAGCGGUGAAAUGCGCAGAUAUCAGGAGGAACACCAAUGGCGAAGGCAGCUCGCUGGGACGGUACUGACGCUGAGACGCGAAAGCGUGGGGAGCAAACAGG